rnacentral:rRNA from 1 species
UACGAAGGGGGCUAGCGUUGCUCGGAAUCACUGGGCGUAAAGAGCGCGCAGGCGGUCGUUCAAGUCGAGUGUGAAAGCCCCCGGCUCAACUGGGGAGGGUCACUCGAUACUGAUCGACUCGAAGGCAGGAGAGGGUAGUGGAAUUCCCGGUGUAGUGGUGAAAUGCGUAGAUAUCGGGAGGAACACCAGUGGCGAAGGCGACUACCUGGCCUGUUCUUGACGCUGAGGCGCGAAAGCUAGGGGAGCAAACGGG